rnacentral:rRNA from 1 species
AUUGAACGCUGGCGGCAUGCCUUACACAUGCAAGUCGAACGGUAACAGGUCUUCGGAUGCUGACGAGUGGCGAACGGGUGAGUAAUACAUCGGAACGUGCCCGAUCGUGGGGGAUAACGCAGCGAAAGCUGUGCUAAUACCGCAUACGAUCUACGGAUGAAAGCGGGGGAUCGCAAGACCUCGCGCGGACGGAGCGGCCGAUGGCAGAUUAGGUAGUUGGUGGGAUAAAAGCUUACCAAGCCGACGAUCUGUAGCUGGUCUGAGAGGACGACCAGCCACACUGGGACUGAGACACGGCCCAGACUCCUACGGGAGGCAGCAGUGGGGAAUUUUGGACAAUGGGGGAAACCCUGAUCCAGCCAUGCCGCGUGCAGGAUGAAGGCCUC